CACAUGAACUUACUGAACUAUCUUGGAAAAGAAGCUAUAGGGAAAUCAUGAGGGCUGUGUGUUUGCAACAUUUCAAUCUAUUCAAGUGUCCCUCUCACCUAUGCAAAUCAAGGCAUUAACACAAGCAGUCUUUAAUGCAUAGGGCAAAAAUGUUAACCGUUGUCUUGACUAUCUUAGUGAAGUGUUUUGGGGAUAAAGUUUUUCAUCUGACAGUUUGACCAGUUUAAAAUGGCAGCUAAAACUAUGUGUGGAGAAUGGGUAAGAGGAGAACUUCGGGAAUUGUAAAUUGACUGUUGUUAACUUUUGGUCUCUGUGUUGCAUAUGACUGACGAGGAUCUGAUCUGCCUCUGCCAGCAGGUCCAAUGGCUGAAGAAUUAGACUUCCUUCUAACUUUUUAGCUGUCUCUGUCUUGCACGAUGAGUGCUUUCUCUCUGGUCAAAGCAGCCACUGAUGAUGGGAGUGCAGCUGGUACACUGCCUGGCCCUCAUUCACUGGGACAUGAGCUCAGAGACUUAGGACAUUUUUCCUGAGAAGUAGGAAGACUUUCAUGAAAUGUGACCAGGUUUUUGAAGUUCAAAACACGAGUGUGAAAAUGUCAAAUGAUGUACAUUUUAAUAUUUGGUAUUUAAAGAAAGGAAAUUGUAGCAGCUUUUCAUGUUUCCCCAUGAGAGGGCUUGAGACCUUGUAACUGAAUAAUCCAGUUAGAAUUCAGUGCUUUUUGAUGCCUUAGAAAUAGAUUUUCUUUGUUGCUGUUGUUGUCCGACAAAAGCUAGGAAGGAGAAAGUCCAUUCUAUAGCUGUUAGAUCUGCCUCUCAGGAAAAAGUACUUACCUGUUCUUUCCGUUCCUAGCUUCCCUCAGUUUGUGAGAUUACUAUAUUUUUUAAUAUAAUUUUAUUUCUUUCAUUGAAUUUGAAAUAAAAAACAAAAC